rnacentral:rRNA from 1 species
UACGUAGGUGGCAAGCGUUGUCCGGAUUUAUUGGGCGUAAAGAGCGUGUAGGCGGCCAGGUAGGUCCGCUGUGAAAACUCGAGGCUCAACCUCGAGAUGUCGGCGGAAACCAUCUGGCUAGAGUCCGGAAGAGGAGAGUGGAAUUCCUGGUGUAGCGGUGAAAUGCGCAGAUAUCAGGAAGAACACCCGUGGCGAAGGCGGCUCUCUGGGACGGUACUGACGCUGAGACGCGAAAGCGUGGGGAGCGAACAGG